GAGUGAUGAUGACAGAGGAGGAGGAGGAGGAGGAGAGGAAGAGGAGGAGAGGGUGGUGUGCUAAUGUGUCGCUCUGAAACCAGAGCUCAUUUAAAGUUAAUCAGACACGCUGCUAACUCAUUUAAAUCUGCUCCUCUUCCUCCUCUUCCUCCUCUUCCUCCUCCUCCUCUUCCUCCUCUUCUUCUUCUUCU
rnacentral:miRNA from 1 species